AGUUUCUAUUGCUAUCCCUCCAAGUUCAUUAAUAUUUUCUUCUAAUUGUAAAGACUGGGGGACUUCUUUCUAAAUGUCCAGUGACCUUUGUCUUAAUAUUUGGUGCAAUAUAU